rnacentral:misc_RNA from 1 species
UUUCCGUAGGUGAACCUGCGGAAGGAUCAUUCAUAAUAUGUGAUUUAUGCCACUUCUUUAUACCCAUAUCCGCCUUGUGUGCUAUGUCAGGGUUGGUCUCUGUUGAUCAGCCCCACACAGCAACUAAAAUCCCAACUCUUUGUCUGAAACAUACUAUGCUUUUAACAAUUCAAAAUACAACUUUCAACAACGGAUCUCUUGGUUCUA